AAAAAAAAGGAAUUAAAAAAAAAAAACAUUUCUUGCAAUUCAUCCUACAAGUUAAAACUGCAAACAAGAAUCCAAAAGAUAAGGAAAUUUUGAAAUUUCUCUUCAAUAAUCCUAGUACCAUUAAACGCAGAAUGCCAUGACAGUUCACACGAGAUAUGUAAAAACCACUUUGAAAGGAAAUAACAAACUCAUCAUCUUACAACUUCAAGAGAAUCUUUUU
rnacentral:lncRNA from 1 species